rnacentral:rRNA from 1 species
GCUUCGGCGGGCCCGCCGCUUGUCGGCCGCCGGGGGGGCGCCUCUGCCCCCCGGGCCCGUGCCCGCCGGAGACCCCAACACGAACACUGUCUGAAAGCGUGCAGUCUGAGUUGAUUGAAUGCAAUCAGUUAAAACUUUCAACAAUGGAUCUCUUGGUUCCGGCAUCGAUGAAGAACGCAGCGAAAUGCGAUAACUAAUGUGAAUUGCAGAAUUCAGUGAAUCAUCGAGUCUUUGAACGCACAUUGCGCCCCCUGGUAUUCCGGGGGGCAUGCCUGUCCGAGCGUCAUUGCUGCCCUCAAGCCCGGCUUGUGUGUUGGGUCGCCGUCCCCCUCUCCGGGGGGACGGGCCCGAAAGGCAGCGGCGGCACCGCGUCCGAUCCUCGAGCGUAUGGGGCUUUGUCACAUGCUCUGUAGGAUUGGCCGGCGCCUGCCGACGUUUUCCAACCAUUCUUUCCAGGUUGACCUCGGAUCAGGUAGGGAU